UGCUGUGGGUCCUGUGUUUAUGGAUGAUCUGGAAAGGGAACUGAGCAAUGAGGAAGCAAAAUGAGCAUAUGUCAGCAAAGUAAUUUAAAUUAGUCGGCAUCACAAAGGGCCAUGAAGAACUUCAGAGAGACCUAAGCAAGGGAUCGAUGCUGCAGGGAUCAAUCCACCGGCUGUCGAUUUAUCGCAUCUGUUGAAGACAUGAUAAAUCAAUCUCUGAGCGCUCUCUUGCCAACGCUGGAACUCCACCAAGAUGAGAAAGGUAGCUGGCGUUGACAGGAAAGCAGCCCCUGCCAACCUUACCACACACAAGAUACUACGAAUCAAGCUUUUGGCCUCUUUCCUCUGAAUUAAUGAGUAUCUGGUCUGUCUCUAGCAUAUCAAGUAUUAACAAUAAUCAAAAAUGUCCCUCAGAUUGUGCAUUCUGCAUUUUCUGGGUGACUGACUUAAGGUCCUGAGGUCUGACUGGCAGAAGUGCUGAGGACUCAUAGCUACAGUGGAAGUCAAUGAAAGAAUACAGAGAUGCUGCGGCCUUCAUAACUGCUGAAGAAAUUAUAUGAUAUGGAACUCUUUUGUACCAUGAAAAUUGAAUUGAUAACCUCAAUUAAUUCUUAUGUUAUUUAGGAUUCUGUUACACAAAUUAUGGAACAACAUGUGACUUUCUGGUUGCUCAAAUACUAAUGCUGGAAUUUUUAAGGGAGCAGACGGGUUCUGCAUUGAAAAUUCCAGCCUGGAUUACUCUGAAGCCCUCGCUCCUUUUGAAGAAUACUGCUUCAUCGUAAUAGUAUUGUUUUGCCUUCUAAUGUGAUAUAACUUUUGCUCUUCUUUAUUUUUAUUUCUUUAUUUUGGUUAACUUACACUUGUAGCUUUUGCAUUUUUCCUUCAGGUAUAUGUCAGACAU